rnacentral:tRNA from 1 species
GGAAGGUUGGCCGAGCGGUAAGGCAGUCGUCUCGAAAGCGAUCGUCAGGGUGACACCUGCCCGGGUUCGAAUCCUGGACCUUCCG